rnacentral:rRNA from 1 species
CCUACGGGAGGCAGCAGUAGGGAAUUUUCGUCAAUGGGCGCAAGCCUGAACGAGCGAUGCCGCGUGAGUGAAGAAGGCCUUUGGGUCGUAAAGCUCCGUUCCGGGGGAAAAAAGGCAGCAUCAGGAAAUGGGUGCUGACUGAUGGUGCUCAGCCAGAACGUCACGGCUAACUACGUGCCAGCAGCCGCGGUAAUACGUAGGUGGCGAGCGUUAUCCGGUAGGAUUGGGCGUAAAGGGUGCGCAGGCGGUCCUGCAAGUCUGGAGUGAAACGCAUGGGCUCAACUCAUGCAUGGCAUAGGAUACUGGGGGACUGGAGAACAGGAGAGGGCGGUGGAACUCCAGGUGUAGCAGUGAAAUGCGUAGAUAUAGAGAAGAACACUAGUGGCGAAGGCGGGCGCCUGGCCUGUUGCUGACGCUGAGGCACGAAAGCGUGGGGAGCGAAUAGGAUUAGAUACCCCUGUAGUC